UCACACUUACAAUUAUGUAGCCUUCAAGCUUAAAUACAACCCAAUGGAAAAGGGUACAAUAGCCAUCCGUUAUAAUAUAACUUAAAGUCUUCAAAAGAAAACAUUCUAGUACUACUCACGAGCACCCUUGGUCUCGAACCCUGUAAAAGAAAACCACAACGUGGGAUGAGCUACACAGCCCAGUGAGGUUCCAAGACACUCUAACAGUUCAAAUAAAUCAAGUAGGAUGGGCAUAUCAUAUGCAUGGUUCAAGGUUACACAAUGGCAUGUUAUCAUGGGGUGAUAAUCAUGGUACGGGUAAUUUGAGACAUUUAUCAUGAGACAGUUAUCAUGGUUCAAGACAUUGGCAUGUAUAGUUCACGAGUGAUUGGAGCUUAUUACAGGCAUAGCUCAGGAUUUUAUAUUGGCAUUUUAGCACGAAACAAUUAUCAUGAUACACGGUAAACAUAUACUGUAGGAUACGGUGUUCCAGUGGAACUCUGUCGGUCAUCUGCACCUUAUGACUUCCGGAUCCCCUCGGUUUGACUGGCCAUCACCUUAUCCCUCCAGUGGUAAUACUCGAGUAUACCGAAACGGUUGUCCAGGGUUCCAACCUACCCGACCGAGCCCAGUCCUGGCUCGAGUAGGUCAGUAACCGAGGCAGGGCCCAAGUUCAGCUUAUAGCUUACAACAUGCACAGGUAACCAAGUAAUUCGACAAAAGUAAAAUUCAUCAUUUGAAUAGGUCGAGUGAGGUAAAGUACACACUCGCCUAACAAUGAUGGACAACUUCAUAUAACAUGUGAUUCAUGAUAAUCAAGUAAUCAAGUGGAUACUUAGCACGUAAGCACGUAAGCAAUACAAGUUGAUUUCAUGGGAGCAUGUAAUUCACGGAUAUCGAAUAAUCAUAUAGAUUAGAAAUCAUAUGAGCAAAUAGUCAGGUAAUCAGGUAGUCAUGUGGGUUGGUAAACGGUUCACGAUUAACGGUUAACUGUUCACGGUUGACGGUUAAUUGACAAGCAUUGGUCAUAUGCAUAGGCCAUCAUUGGCCGUUAUCCCAUUUUUACCACGUGAGAGUCGAGGAGAUUCACUCCAACGACGUAUGCAACCUUAGCAUACCAAGUCAUGUUAUUCGAGUAUUUUCAAGCAUGAAUUAUUCAUCUCAAAAGAGAACGAGUGCGAUAAAGUACACACUCGACUCCAUUUUUCAAACCCAAGUAGACUAAGUAAACAAUCUAGCAAGUUAAGCAUGUAUCGAGUUCAUAUGGUCAUUUGAUAUGGUUAAUCAUUUAACCAAUUCAUGUAGAUAUACAAUGCAAGUAUACAUUGCUUAAAUAGGCAUGAGUAUGGUAAAUACUUAACACAUAGUACUUAACACUUAAUAGUCUUGAAAUGAGCAUGUCCUAGACUUAUUCAAUUACGUAUUUCUAUAUGGAACACUCACCUAGUCAAAACAAGCGAGUAGUUUUCAAACAAGCGUUUUAGGUGUCCGCUCCGAGUUCCCCUUGGAGAUUCCCUCGAGUGCCUGAGCAAACAACCAUUAACUAUUAUACACUAUCACUUAGAACCCCUACUUAUCAAAGAAGGUUGUACAAUCUAAGGAGAAUUCAUUAAUUGUGCCUUAAUUAAUAAUAAUCGAGGCUCAAGAGUAAAGUUUUAAAGUCUAAAGAAAGAGACUAAUAUUUUCCAUGAAAUCGAGUUCAGAAUGUUCAAUCGGUAUCGAGAAAAGAAGGCAAGUUCCCAAAAUCUCAUUUUCUAAGAAGUUGACAAAUUUCAGCUUUGGGUGUCAAUCCUAGAAAAAUCGUAUCUUGCACUAUGUAGGUCCAAAAUUGGAAAGCUUGAUAUCGUUGGAAACUUCUUCAAAAGCACUAAAAGUUCUUAGAAGAUAAUUUUCCAUGAUUCCAAACGGAAGAUAUUCAAAAAUUGACUCUAAGUUGCUGUUUGGGACCAUUAAGACAGUUUCGGGGUUGGUUUUUGACCAUCUUUGAAAAUUCGACAAAAUUCACACAAUACGAACUAACCUCCGAAAUUUAGAAAUCAAUUAUAACUACAAUCAAAGUUUAAAACGAAACAAACGGAACAAGAAUCGAAGUUUUGAGCGCCAAGAUAUAGCAGCUCAAAGUUGGCUAAAAAUUCCUUCUCGAUCAAGAAUUUCCAGAUUUAAACAUGAACUUUGGGACUUUGUUUGAACAUCUAAACAGACUUGGAAUGGCACCAAAUUUGGUAGUAUUAUCCUACCAUAUAAGGGCUAUUCCUCUACCAAAUUUUGUAGGAAAAUUCAUUCGUAAAGUUGGUUAACGAAAUCACUAAAGUCCCAAGAAAUUCCUCGGCAAAUCUGCCUUGGACUUCCGUUUUUCCGUUUUCAAAACGUUUGGCCAAUAAAACACCUCAAACACAGUUCAUUUCAGUAGAUAAUAUCUAAGAUAUGUCCGAGGUACAUUUGAUAGGUGAUUUAUACCAAGAAGCUUUGGAAAACAAGUCUCAAAUCAUUGUUAGUUACAAAUCUGUCCAAGUGGAAAAUUCUAUCACUGUAGCUGUUUCAAACUUUGGCCACAACUCACUCAAUUAAACUUGGAAUUGGGCGUGGUUGAUGGCGUUGGAAAGCUCUCUCAUAAAGCUGAAUUUUCUCAGAAGAAACCAUUUUCAAAGUCCAUUCACAAACAGCUCGUUUUUGAGCAUCAAGAUACAAGUCCUGUCCUGUCUCCUGGAGAGAAACGAAACAGGACAGUGAUUUUCAAACGAAUGGUGUGGCUCACUCAAGUGGAACCAGAUCGUGAAAUUGAUACCAAUGGAAAUCUGGGAAUGUCUAGUUUCCAAUGCCACUGACGGCACUCAAUUUCGACAUCGGAGUAAAGAGUUAUAGCCGAUACAAAAUGACUGCCUGGGCAAUACGGGAUUCAUUUUCCAGUUUUGCUAACUUUGGAAAUCAACUCAUUUGACCAACCAAAUCAUGUUAUUUCUCAACGAAACUUUGUACACACCCACACUAACAUGUAAACAAUAUAAUCAAGUCAUUAGAACCUCAAAAUUGUGCACAAAAAUGGUCGGACAAGACAGGGGUAAAACCAGAAACUUUUGCUUCUUGCACCCAAUGAAGUUUCUAUCAAUUACGCACCAUUAAUCCAUCAUUUUAACCACUAAACCAACAAUAUAUCCACUAUCAAUCAUCAAAUCAGCAACAACCCAAGAGUGGGAGUUCAUAGAGCCCACUUUCACAUUUUAUACCAUAAACAAGACUACCCACAUGAUUAUACAACCUUAUAUGUGCAAUAUAUCUUACAAAAACUAAGAUCUAUGGGUUGGAUGAUUUGCUACCUUCUUGGAUGACUAGAUCAGAAAUUUUUGGUCACUCUUUGCUCCAGAAAACAGUGGCUUUUCAGCUCCCUUUUGCAGCUCAAAAUACUCCUCAAGUGUUAAUCUAAGUGUGGUGCAAGUUUGGUUGAAUUUGGAGAUGAUUUGGUGAAUAUUUGAUGGAGGAAUUUGAAGAACUCUUGAGCUGUUUUUCUUGUUUGUUGUUCGGCCAGAUGAGGGAGCAAGAGAGAGAGUGUGAUCAGAUUUCUAAGCUUCCAAGAGAAGACAUUAACUUGUGGCCACCAAUCACC
rnacentral:lncRNA from 1 species